UAUAAGACAGCUUCCACUACUAACAUCAACCUACAACCUCUGCUCAUGAAUAUCUCAUUUCUCAAUAAAGCACAAUGCAAUACCAAGUGGUGAAAAAAUCUCUCAAUUUUAUUAUUAAUCCUAUUACAUAUUCACAACAAUUGGAAACCCCCCCAAAAAAAAACAUAUACACACAAUCAGACAUAAUAAAAAAAACAGGGGUGGGGGAACACCCAGCAGAAAUAACAGUCAUGGAUCAAUGUAUAAUGACUCAAGUAUUAAAGUGCACCAUGCCUAUAUAAAGUGCAUACAGCAUAAAAGGAAAGCAGCCUAACAGUAAGGUGGUCAGUGCAUACGAUUAGAGUGCACUGUGCAUAAAAUAUCAAACCAGGGUGCCUCCAGCUGUUUAACUAAUAAUGCUGCAACAGUAAGUGAAUGGCCUAUUUGUCCCUAUAUGAAAGAGUUCAUAGGAUAAUAUACUAACAUCAAAGAAACAAAUAACUAGUAGCAGCAAUAGGCAUUUACCAUGUAAGCGGCACAUGCAUUGGGUAAGCACUUUGCCCGGUCAAUAUACUUAACUGUGUUGUUUGUAGCGUGGCCUGCUCCGGUGUUCCCCCACCUCACACUCCAAUGCGUUUCACCCCGCUUCGUCUGGGAGUGAUAAGGAGGGGGGACACUCGGGGCUAUUUAUAUAUAGGGGAUCUGUAUAAUAACCAAUAGAAGAGAAAACACGAUGGCGCCAAUCCUCCGGCGCUUGUGAUGCGACAUCCGGCUAAUCCCCGCUGCCGGAACUGCUCCUGUCCCCUCGCGAGAUCUUCCGCUGAAAGCGACGUUACCCGAGAGGGGAGGGUAACAGACCCGGGAGCCGGGAGGCCGGACAUGCGCACACAAGCGCUCUGCGCCGACCGCCAUAUUGAUUAAGGGAAACAUGCCCACAGUCCCGUUAAGUAUGUGUAUUUAUAUAAAUGCUAUGAAAAAAUGGAGCAUAAUCAAUUUCUUCUAUCAGCAGUGAGGCCUCCAAAACCUCACAAGUGUCAACAUCCAGUGCAGCAAGUGGACGCUGGAAUAGGUGGGACAUGCGUAGGAAUACAAGGAGAACUACCAAGAGAAAAGAACUACCAGAGGAUGACCAGACUCAGGAAGUUGGGUUGAAGAGGAACAGGAACUGGAAGCGCACCGGGCGCUAGAAAGUCUCAUUCUGGAACAGAAUGAAAACAGUGGAGGGGGCCCAAAAUGGGGAUCGGUACCAUGCGGUGACUGUUCCAUUUGCCAUCAGGUAGAAAGAACCAAAAUCUUCACAGAUUCAAGUGGGCUUAAAGAGUACCGGAUAGUUCAUCAUAUAAACUGCAAGACUGCUGCUGUGAUUUAUUAUGUGACAUGCCCAUGUAAUAUGAAUUACGUUGGAAUGACUACAAGAAAAUUAAGGGUGGGAAUCCAGGAGCACAUACGUGACAUUAAAGCAUCAAUGAGAACGGAAUUAACUGAUCAGGAAGGCAUGAUGAAAUUCAAAUGUAUUCCUCGUCACUUUAGGACUGCACAUGGAGGACAAUCCAAUCUGCUGAGAGUUAGAGGCAUUGACAGAAUACAUUUGGGAAUUCGAGGAGGCGACAUAAGAAACAAUUAGCGAAGAAGGAAUGUAAGUGGAUAUAUACGCUUAAGACAGCAUCUCCCUGGGGACUCAACGAGAAUACUAGUUUUGCAUGCUUUUUAUAGACCACUCUCUGAUUGUGAAAAAUAUUUUAUAAAGGUUUUUAUUGUUUCUAGUUUUAUCAGUUUAAAUUAUAAAUAGGGGGAUUCUGCGGAGCUAUUUGGGGUAUGGUCGAAUUAUCUGUAAUAAAAAAAUCUGUAUUACGAUAUAAUAAGUAAUUCUAGUUUUUCUGUCUAGGUAAUUGGAGUAACUGAAUUAAUGAUGUCAUCUAAUGCUGUAUUUCAACCUAGGAUGAUGGAGACAUCUUGAGGCUUGGGACAUCUUGGGAUUCACCCCCCUUUUUUUUUCACACGUUUUUACUGUAUGCUGUGAGGUUAUUUAUGUUUGACAUGUUUUUUCACGCAUUAACAUUUUUUUGGUGUAUUUGGACAUGUAUAUUUUACAUAUCACUUAUCACAUUGAGUUUUUUCAUGUUUUAAUACAUGAAUAUAUUAUAUAUUUAUAAACACACUGUCAGGAUCUGGACUGGUAUGCAGGGAGGACAAAGGUGGUGGAUCCUCUGUGUCAGUGAGGUGAUGGCAUGGGUCAUACCAGGGGAACAGAAUCUAAGAGGUUACUGGUUUUCACCAGAGCCCGCUGCAAAGCGGGAUGGACUUGCUGCGGCAGGUAACCUCCAGGUCGUUCCACUCGAUAGCGACUCAACCUCACUGACUGCUGAGUCAGGCGCGGUACACAAGGAUUAGGCAAAGGCAAGGUCAGACGUAGCAGAAGGUCGGGACAGACGGCAACGGUUCGUAGUCUAGGGCAACGGCAAGGGUCUGGUUACACAGGCAAUGGACACACGGGAACGCUUUCACUGGCACAAGGCAACAAGAUCCGGCAGGGACAGGAAGGGGAAGUGGACUUUUAUAAUGUAGGGAGUGCUUGGAACUAAUUGGGCCAGGCACCAAUCAGUGGUGCACUGGCCAUUUAAAUCUGAGAGACCCUGCGCCGGGACUGAGCAGGAGGACGGGGCAGGUAAGAAACAUGGCGUGCGAUCCGAGAGCGGCACGUCCCGUGCCUCAGAUCGCAUCCCCUCCGGUGACAUGGGAGCAGCGCUCGCGGUCAGCGGUGCCGACCGGAGCGCUCCGGGGAGGCAGCGGGACCCGGAGCGCUCGGCGUGACACACACUAUACACACUUUUUACACUUUCAUAUAUGAAUUUAUUUGUAUACUUAUUCACAUAUUAUACAUAUUUUUAUUCACAUUUUCACACAUUGAUUUAUUCACACAUUUAUUCACAUAUGAUAUAUAUUUAGUUUUUCGAAUUAUUACACUAGUUAUACACAAUUAGUUAUACAUUAUUAUUAAGUUGUAUGAAUUUUUAGGUUUUUUACAUAUUUAUUUACACACUAUAGUACUUAGAUUAUCAUCUAAUUGGUAUUUUAUGUUAUAUUAUUAAUUAUUUAUUUGUACAUACAUUAAUAUUGUAUCACAUGUCUCUCUGUAGGGUAUGAAUUUACUAUAUCAUUAUUUUUAUAUAUUUUUUGUGUAUAUUAGUUAUUGACAUACAGAAGAUGAAUUGGAUAUUUGGGGUAGUCCCUAUAGAAUUUUACAAGAUCGCUCCAUUGUUUCAUAGCAUUUAUAUAAAUACACAUACUUACCGGGACUGUGGGCAUGUUUCCCUUGCUCAAUAUGUCCGGGCCUCACGGGUCUGUUAACCUCCCCUCUCGGGUGACGUCGCUUUCAGCGGCAGAUCUCGCGCGGGGACAGGAGCAGUUCCGGCAGCGGGGAUGAGCCGGAUGUCGCAUCACAAGCACCGGAGGAUUGGCGCCACCGCGUUUUCUCUUCUAUUGGUUAGUAUACAGAUCCCCUAUAUAUAAAUAGCCCCGAGUGUCCCCCCCCCUCCUUAUCACUCCCAGACGAAGCGGGGCGAAACGCGUUGGAGUGUGAGGUGGGGGAACACCGGAGCAGGCCACGCUACAAACAACACAGUUAAGUAUAUUGACCGGGCAAAGUGCUUACCUAAUGCAUGUGCCGCUUACAUGGUAGAUGUCUAUUGCUGCUACUAGUUAUUUGUUUCUUUGAUGUUAGGAUAUUAUCCUAUGAACUCUUUCAUAUAGGGACAAAUAGGCCAUUCACUUACUGUUGCAGCGUUAUUAGUUAAACAGCUGGAGGCACCCUGGUUUGAUAUUAUAAGCACAGUGCACUUUAAUCUUAUGCACUGACCACCUUACUGUUAGGCUGCUUUCCUUUUAUGCUGUAUGCACUUUAUAUAGGCAUGGUGCACUUUAGUACUUGAGUCAUUAUACAUUGAUCCAUGACUGUUAUUUCUGCUGGUUGUCCCCCCACCCCUGUUUUUUUAUGUCUGAUUGUGUGUAUGUUUUUUAUUGGGGGUUUC